CUGCGGUGAUGACCACUUAGGACACCUUUGGAUUGAACCAUGAAAACAAACUGAACUCUGAGCAGC